rnacentral:rRNA from 1 species
CCUACGGGUGGCGGCAGUGGGGAAUAUUGCACAAUGGGGGAAACCCUGACGCAGCGACGCCGCGUGAGUGAAGGAGGAAUUCGGUAUGUAAAGCUCUAUUAGCAGGGAAGAAAAUGACGGUACCUGAGUAAGAAGCCCCGGCUAACUACGUGCCAGCAGCCGCGGUAAUACGGAGGGGGCCAGCGGUAUCCGGAGUUUCGGGGGUUAAAGGGAGCCGAGGCGGUAGUGCCAGUGUGGCGGGAAAGGCGGGGGGGUCAACCCCGGACCGCCCUUGAAACUGGACGGCUGGGGUGCACGAGAGGUAUGUGGAAUUCCUGGUGUAGCGGUGAAAUGCGUAGAUAUUACGAAGAACCCCGAUUGCGAAGGCAGCAUACUGGACUCUAACUGACGUUGAGGCUCGAAAGCGUGGGGAGCGAACAGGAUUAGAUACCCUUGUAGUC